rnacentral:lncRNA from 1 species
GUGUCGCAUUGUGAUUGGCCUCCUGGUUGAAGGGAAGCUCUUCUAGGUCCUUGACGGUAUAACGUUGACCAGUGCUCAGUAGUUUCGGGAUUGGUCAAGUAUGGUACAAACAUCAAGAAAUUCGAUAAAAUAUAUGAGGAUAAUACGUCCGCGUAUAAUUAUGUUAAACCAACUAAGGCAUUUUCGUUUUUUUCACUUAUCGAUAAAUUUUACGACGUAAAUUAUAAUAAUUUCAGGAAACAAAACUAUAAAAGUUCUCAAUUCAAUUUUUCAUAACCAUAAAUCGAUUUAUUUUCGAUUUUUCUCCACAUAUUCAUAUAUUGAAAUUUUUAGGGUAUUAUACAUUUUCUAGGUAGGGUUUAAUUUUGUAGUAGUAUAUAUAAGGCUAUUUAGCCAUUAGAUUAUGGAAGGGGGCAUCACUUUGGAGAACUUAGCUAGGCUUUGACGAUUUGUAUUUCAAGGUGUUUUCUAUCCUUUUUCUAUUUCAAUAAAAUUCUUUUUGUUUUAUGGUUGUUCGUAACUUAUUUCUGUUUGCUAGGGUAAUGCCUUGAGCCUUAGUAUGAAUAUGUAGUCUUUAUUUAAUUACUUAUGAUAUUAUGCAUGCAUACUUUGAAUUAUUAAUCACUGUGUUUAACCUGUCUUUAUAUCUUAAUGCUUAGCUAUCAUUAGGAUGUUUAGAUAAUUAAUUGGAUGCAAUUCGGUUGGAAUACCACUGGGGGAUUGAGUAUUGCUUCUUGUGAUUGAUAAUUUCACUUAGGGAGAAUACCACGUCUUAGGGGUUGCAUGGUUUUUCAAAGGGUUUUCACAAGGCGUAAUGAGUCAUGCAUAUUUACAUUUGAUCUGAAUACCAUAUACGUUCUAGCUUGAACACCACAAGUAGAUUAUGCAUUAGGAAAACCUAACUUUUAAAGUUGCAUGGGUAAUUCAUAAGUAAUUAGUAAAUCUACAUAGGAUUGUUAAGAGGAUGGCGGAACCCUAG